GAUGAAGAACGUAGCGAAAUGCGAUAAGUAAUGUGAAUUGCAGAAUUCAGUGAAUCAUCGAAUCUUUGAACGCACAUUGCGCCCGCCAGUAUUCGGGCGGGCAUGCCUGUUCGAGCGUCAUUACAACCCUCAGGCCCCCGGGCCUGGCGUUGGGGAUCGGCGGAGCCCCCCGUGGGCACACGCCGUCCCCCAAAUGCAGUGGCGGUCCCGCCGCAGCUUCCAUCGCGUAGUAGCUAACACCUCGCGACUGGAGAGCGGCGCGGCCACGCCGUAAAACACCCAACUCUUCUGAAGUUGACCUCGAAUCAGGUAGGAAUACCCGCUGAACUUAAGCAUAUCAAUAAGCGGAGGA
rnacentral:misc_RNA from 1 species